UCCAGAGGGGGCAAGCGUUAUUCGGAAUUAUUGGGCGUAAAGGGCGCGUAGGCGGCUUGGCAAGUGGAAGGUGAAAUCCCUCGGCUUAACCGAGGAACUGCCUUCCAAACUGCUUCGCUUGAGACCGGGAGAGGUGAGUGGAAUUCCCAGUGUAGCGGUGAAAUGCGUAGAUAUUGGGAGGAACACCAGUGGCGAAGGCGGCUCACUGGACCGGUACUGACGCUGAUGCGCGAAAGCGUGGGGAGCAAACGGG
rnacentral:rRNA from 1 species